UACAGAGGGGGCAAGCGUUGUUCGGAAUUACUGGGCGUAAAGGGCGCGUAGGCGGCCUGUUAAGUCGAACGUGAAAUCCCCGGGCUCAACCCGGGAACUGCGUCCGAUACUGGCAGGCUUGAAUCCGGGAGAGGGAUGCGGAAUUCCAGGUGUAGCGGUGAAAUGCGUAGAUAUCGAGAGGAACACCUGCGGCGAAGGCGGGUUGCUGGGCUGACACUGACGCUGAGGCGCGAAAGCUAGGGGAGCGAACGGG
rnacentral:rRNA from 1 species